rnacentral:tRNA from 1 species
GCUGGCUUAGCUCAACCAGGCAGAGCAACUGACUUGUAAUCAGUAGGUUGAAAGUUCGAUUCUUUUAGUCAGCACCA